GGCGCUAUAGCCAAGUGGUUACGGCGAGUGAUUAGAAUGUAUCCAGCAUUAGCGGGAUUCCAACUAUCACUUCCACUUUGUGGGCGCAGGUUCGAGUCCUGCUGGCGUCG